UACGUAGGGUGCGAGCGUUGUCCGGAAUUAUUGGGCGUAAAGAGCUCGUAGGCGGUGUGUCGCGUCGGUCGUGAAAACUUGGGGCUUAACUCUGAGCUUGCGGUCGAUACGGGCAUCACUGGAGUUCGGCAGGGGAGACUGGAAUUCCUGGUAUAGCGGUGAAAUGCGCAGAUAUCAGGAGGAACACCGGUGGCGAAGGCGGGUCUCUGGGCUAAGCACGUGACGCUCGAGGCACGAAAGCGUGGGGAGCAACAGG
rnacentral:rRNA from 1 species